AUUACCGAACAUUAAAAGUUUGUUUUUUUCGUUUGUUAAGAAAUACAGAUUUUUCUUUCUUCAAUCUCUUUUUGCUGCAACACCUAAAGCCGCUGGAGAUUUGCAAGAUCAAACUCGCUUCGUACAGCUUCGAUAUCUCUGAUUCAGCAAUCAUCGAGCAGCCUCAACGCCAGGUUCCUUCCUCGCCCUUAUUUAGACACUCGCGCUGUUUUGAUUUGCGAUGACGAUGUGGAGGUAGACAAAAAGUCGGUGGAGUUCGCGUUAUCCAUGUGGAAGUCGAACCAUGAUCGUUUAGUAGGGGUUGGAAGUUUUUGAUCAUACGAAGUUUGAUAAGUGGGUGAGGAAAGUAGCUGCCUCUGCAAUAGCACCAAACUUGAAGCUUUAUGAAAAGGUUCAAGAUUUGGGGUACAAAGUUAUCUUGCUUACAGGGCGAAGAGAGAACGACACGGUUAUCACUAUCAAGAACCUGAUCAAUGCCGGUUUCAAUAACUGGGACGAGCUUAUUCUGAGAAUGUGACAGCAGCUUUGAAUGUUUAUUUUCAAGAUCCUGGAUUUUAGCUUGUGUUCCCACAUUAUCUCUAGCACCCGUUGAAGCUGAUCCUGAGACAGAUGAGGUGACUUCAAGCUCUUCGGAUUCAAGUUGCUCACUCGUCUUGUAUAUCCAGUGCUGCUCACUUAUCCUGAACUCAUUGAUGCUGCAGUGAUCCCUAGAAGUUGGGGUAUGUAUUUUCUCAGUGGCCCCUAGUUCAGGUUUAAACUAAUUGCCAAUGUUAAAGACGAUUCCGGUAAGGCAAAGUUUCUUUUGUUUGAUACCAACGCUCAAAUGAUUGUGCGUCGUAUGGCCGUUGAACUCUACGAGUAGAAUGAAGAUCCCGAGUUUUUACCAGAAGCAGUUAGCGACCUCUUUGGCAAGAGAAUGCUUUUUGAAAUUUCAGUUGAUUCUGAUAACAUCAGAGGAAAGAACUCUCAGUAUGUUGUUCGUAGGGCUAAUGAUAAUCAUGAAAUGAUUGAGGAAUUUGCAGCUUUGCCUCCUAAACCGGUUUUAAUGUUGCUCGCCUCCGAAGACAUUUCCGAUGGUUCCGGUGGUUCUUCAGCAGCUCCUGUGUCU